rnacentral:piRNA from 1 species
UCGAUCUGAUAUUGGGCCCUCAAUGCACU